UACGUAGGGGGCAAGCGUUGUCCGGAUUUAUUGGGCGUAAAGAGCGUGUAGGCGGCCAUGCAGGUCCGUUGUGAAAAACUCGAGGCUCAACCUCGAGACGCCGGUGGAAACCGCAUGGCUAGAGUCCGGAAGAGGAGAGUGGAAUUCCUGGUGUAGCGGUGAAAUGCGCAGAUAUCAGGAAGAACACCCGUGGCGAAGGCGGCUCUCUGGGACGUGACUGACGCUGAGACGCGAAAGCGUGGGGAGCAAACAGG
rnacentral:rRNA from 1 species